rnacentral:rRNA from 1 species
AACGAACGCUGGCGGCAGGCUUAACACAUGCAAGUCGAACGCAUCCUUCGGGGUGAGUGGCAGACGGGUGAGUAACGCGUGGGAACGUGCCCUUCAGUUCGGGCUAACCCAGGGAAACUUGGGCUAAUACCGGAUACGUGCGAGAGCAGAAAGAUUUAUCGCUGAAGGAUCGGCCCGCGUCUGAUUAGCUAGUGGGUGGGGUAAUGGCCCACCAAGGCGACGAUCAGUAGCUGGUCUGAGAGGAUGAUCAGACACAUUGGGACGGAGACACGGCCCAAACUCCUACGGGAGGCAGCAGUGGGGAAUAUUGGACAAUGGGCGCAAGCCUGAUCCAGCCAUGCCGCGUGAGUGAUGAAGGCCUUAGGGUUGUAAAGCUCUUUCGUCCGGGACGAUAAUGACGGUACCGGAAGAAGAAGCCCCGGCUAACUUCGUGCCAGCCGCCGCCGUAA